AACGAACGCUGGCGGCAGGCUUAACACGUGCAAGUCGAGCGCCCCGCAAGGGGAGCGGCAGACGGGUGAGUAACGCGUGGGAAUCUACCCAUCUCUACGGAAUAACGCAUGGAAACGUGUGCUAAUACCGUAUAAGUCCUUCGGGAGAAAGAUUUAUCGGAGAUGGAUGCGCCUGCGUUGGAUUAGCUAGUUGGUGGGGUAAAGGCCUACCAGGGCGACGAUCCAUAGCUGGUCUGAGAGGAUGAUCAGCCACACUGGGACUGAGACACGGCCCAGACUCCUACGGGAGGCAGCAGUGGGGAAUAUUGGACAAUGGGCGCAAGCCUGAUCCAACCAUGCCGCGUGAGUGAUGAAGGCCCUAGGGUUGUAAAGCUCUUUCACCGGUGAAGAUAAUGACGGUAACCGGAGAAGAAGCCCCGGCUAACUUCGUGCCAGCCGCCGCCGUAACAC
rnacentral:rRNA from 1 species